GACGAACGCUGGCGGCGUGCCUAAUACAUGCAAGUUGAGCGCCGACGGUUGGUACUUGUACCAACUGGAUGAGCAGCGAACGGGUGAGUAACGCGUGGGGAAUCUGCCUUUGAGCGGGGGACAACAUUUGGAAACGAAUGCUAAUACCGCAUAAAAACUUUAAACACAAGUUUUAAGUUUGAAAGAUGCAAUUGCAUCACUCAAAGAUGAUCCCGCGUUGUAUUAGCUAGUUGGUGAGGUAAAGGCUCACCAAGGCGAUGAUACAUAGCCGACCUGAGAGGAGGAUCAGCCAAAGUGGAACUGAGAAAAGGGCCAGAAUCGUACGGGAGGCAGCGGUGGGGAAUAUUGGACAAUGGGUGCAAGCCUGAUCCAGCCAUACAGGGUGGGUGAAGAAGGCCGUCGGGUUGUAAAGCCCUUUUGUUGGGAAAGAAAAGCAGCAGGUUAAUACCCCGCUGUUCUGACGGUACCCAAAGAAUAAGCACCGGCUAACUUCGUG
rnacentral:rRNA from 1 species